rnacentral:lncRNA from 1 species
AAUACGGAGAAACCAGGGACAUGGCAACAUCCUUAUCGCCCUACCUUCUUUCCAAACACUCAGCCUGGUAGAGGGCUUGGUACAUCAUUCUAUAGAGGACCGCCUUUUGAGAGGCAGUUUAGGCCAGUAGAGAAUGGAAGAACAUUCAGGCCGCAACCUCGCCGGCCAAAUGUAUGGCAUUCAUUCCAGUACAAUGCAGAAAGGGCAAUACCCUUCGAUGAGAUGACUAGGACACAACAAAGACGUUUCCAACGAAACUACGGACGGAUGAUGAGGCAGCAACAGGGAGUGCCACAUCCUAAAACACCUAAAUUACUCAAGGUAGCCAAUCAAAACGUCCUCAAAGGUAGUAAAGAGACUGG